GCUUCACUCCUUUCUAUGGCUGAAACCAAUCCUCAUGUAUGAAGGAACCACAUUCUGUUUGUCCAUUCACCAGUUCCUGGGCGUCUGGACUGCAUCCGCUUUUUGACUAUAAAUAACACUGCUAUGAUAAUUCGUGUCUGCAUGAGUAUCAGGUUCUUCUGAAUCUACACCUACGACUGGAAAUGCUGGGUCACCUGGUCAUGCCACGAGUUACUUUCUGAAGAAAUCACAAACUGUCUUCUCAGAAAUUGUACCAUUCUGCAUUCCCACCAGCAAGAGUCUCCCAGCAUCCUCACGUACUCUGCAGUGCGUGCUGGCUCCACUAACAUUAUUAUUCCUGCCAUCCUAGUGUGUGACACAGUGUCUCACUGUGGUUUCGCUCCAUGAUUCCCUAACAAGCAACAAUGCUGACCAUCUUCUCGUGUGCCUAUGGGUCGACUGUACAUCUUCUUUGGAGAAAUAUCCAUUCAGUUCCCUUGCCUUUAAUAGCGUUACUUUUCUUUUUAUUAAGAUCUAAGAGUGAGUUAGAUGCUCUGCAUACUAGAUCCUUCUCACAUGAGCUGUACGUAUUUUCUCCCACUCUGUGGGUUGUCUUUUCACCCUGCUGAUAGUGUCCUUUGAAGCAAAAAGGUUUUAACUUUAAUGAAGCCCAGUGUAUCUUAUUUUUCCACAUUGGUUGCUUGUGCUUGAGGUGUCAGAUCUAAGAAACCACUGUCUAGUCCAAAAUCAUGAGGAUUUACCCCUAUAAUUUCUUUUAAGGUGUUUAUAGUUUUAGCUUUUACAUUUAUGUUUUAAUUCAUUUGAGAUAAUUUUGUAUGUGGUGUGAGGCAGGGGUCCAACUUCAUUCUUCUGCACAUGGAAGAAUGAAGUUGUGCCAGCAGCACCUGUUGUGCCAGCAGCACCUGUUGAAGAGGCCAUUCAACAUUCAAAUGGAAUAGUUUUGGCACCGUGUUGAAAAUUAUGUGAACAUAGACACACGUGGUCUCCGGUCUAUGUCACUGAUGUAUGUGUCUGUCCCGUGCCAGCACCAUGCUGUCUUGCUUACUGUGGCUAUGUGGUAAAAUCUGAAAUUAGGAAGUGUGGGCCUCCAAUUUUGUUCUUUUUCUAGAUUGUUUUGGCUAUUCUGGAUCCCCUGCAUUUCCAGAUGAAUCUCAGGAUGUGCUUGUCAAGUUUUGUUUAAAAAAAAAAAGGCAGCAGAAAUUUAGAUAGGGAUUAUGUUGAAUCUGCAGAUCCAAUUGGGGACUGUUUUCUUCUUAACAAUAGUACAUCUUCCAAUCUAUGAACAUAGGAUGCCUUCCCAUUUAUUUAGGUAUUCUUUAAUUUCUCUGAAUGAUGUCUUGUAGUUUUUAGAGUAUAAAUCUUGCACUUUUUGAUUAAAAAUUUCUCCAAGUAUUUUUCUUUCUGACAGCAUUAUAAAUGAAGUUGUUUUCUUGUCUCAUUUUCAGGUUGUUUGCUGCUAGUGUAUAGAAAUUUAAUUGAUUUUUGUAUACCGAUCUUGUGCCCUGUAACCUUGCUCAACCUGUUUAUUAGUCUAGUAGUUUUGCUGUGAAUUCCUCAGAAUAUUCUACAUACAAGAGGAUAUCAUAUGCAAAUGCAACUUUACUUCUUCCUUUCAUCUGAGUCCUCCACUCUUUUUCCCUUGUCUAAUUGCUCUGGCAGAUCCUCCGGUACUACUGUGAAUAAAAAUGGCAGAAGGCAUCUUUGUCUUGUUCUUGAUCUUCAGGGGAAAACUUUUCUUCUUUAACCAUAAAGUAUGAUGUUAGCUGUGAGUGUUUUAUAGAUGUCCUUUGGCAGGUUGAGGAAAAAUCACCUUCUAGUCUUAGUUUGAUUGUUUUUAUCAUAAAAGGGUGAUAAAUCAUGUCAAGUACUUUUUGUGCAUCAAUUGAGAUGAUCAUGUGGGUUUUUUCCCCAUUAUUCUGUUAAUGUGAUGCAUUCCACUGAUUGAUUUUCACGUCCUGAACCAUCUUUGCAUUUCAGGAAUCCAUCUCAUUUUUCCAGGGUACACAAUCCUUUCAGUACGCUGUUGAUUUCAAUUUGCAAGUCUUCCGUUGAGGAUUUUUGCAUCCGUGCUCACAGUGGAUACCGGUCUGUGGUUUUCUUGUCAUGUCUUUGGUAUCGGGGUCAUGCUGACUGCAGAAUGAGUAGGAAGUGUUGUUCCGUCCUCAUCAAUAUUUUUGGAGAGUUUGGGAAAGAGUACUGUUAAUUCUUUUUAAAGAUGUUUGGUUAGAAUUCACCAAUGAAGCCAUCUGGUCCUGGGCUUUUUGUUGUUGUUCAGAAGUUUGUGAUUACUGAUUCAAUUUCCUUACUACUUUUAGGUCUAUUCAAAUGUUCUAUUUCUAUUUCUUCAUGAUUCAGUUUUGGUAGUUUGUGCCACUCUAGAGUCUGUCCAUCUCUUCUAGAUUAUCUAAUUUGUUGGCCACCUGCUGCCUGUUUCACACACAAGUCUCCAUCAUAGCUGGUUUCUUUAGCUAGUUCAGAAUAAAGCAGAAAUUACUCCCUGGAAAACUGUUUGGGGCAGAGGAAGGCGACUUCCAUAGAGAGGAUUUUAAAAAGCAAAACAAACAACCGUGGCGUAUGACAGAACUCUGGUGUGACUAUAGAGGAGCAAAGCUUCUUUCUUUCCUCGGGCUUUUGACUCUUUCACAAUCACAAUCCAAACUUCUGGAAAGAUGAUUUAAAAAAACCAAACCCAUGGAGUUUUUAACCCAGCGCAACCUCCUUUGUUCUAGUAUCCAAGCGUCUCGCACCCCGUUACGUUGCUGGCAAAAUACUCUUCUGAAAACAAAUUUUGACAUCUGUUCCACGCUGAAAACCCUUCAAUGGCUCAGCACCGUCUGCUGCAAAAGUGCUGUUUAAAAGAAAACUACACAGAACUGUGCUCCAAGAAGUCAAGUCAAAGGCUGCUGGCUACCUUCAGCGGCAUGGGGAUGCCUGCACUGCCCAUGCUUCCCCCCAGUCCCCGGGAGCUGAGCCAGUGACAGGACCUAAGCUCCUUGUCCCCUACUGUGCUCGCAGACCCACCCUCUGCUUCCAGCAGCCCCUUGGGGACCAGUAGUCUCGAAGCCUGAUGCAUCUCUCCCUCUCUGAGGUGGCAUCCCGGUUUUUCUCCUAGUGAAUCCCUCCUCACCCUCGACCAGCUAGCCACAUGGGCACCAUCCCUAGGCAGCUGCCGAGGGCCCUGUGCCUGCAGGGACGCAUGCUUGGCUUGACGCUUUGCUGCUGCCGUCGUGAAACUCGUAGUAACCGUGGGAUGCAAUGCCCCUGGAUUUCGGCUCACUGUGCCAGCCUGAGGCCUGGAGGGAGUGUUGCCCCCAAAACUCCCACAGCACCCUCACUCACGCUGGCAGCCCAGCCAUCCUGGGACUGAGAGCCGGGCCUGUGUCAUCAAUGUCUUAACCAUCUGUGGUUGCUCUGUUUUUGCACAGUGCUAGGUACUUGGUAAAUGUUUGCUAUGUUUCUUCUGGAGGACAGAUUAUAUGGGUAUUACCUUAGCACUGAUGUUGGGCAUGGCUUCUCCUUUCUCUAAGCCUUGGUUCUCGAAAAUAAGAACACUGGGCCACAGGAUCUCUAAGUCUCCGUUUGCCUUGAAAUUGUGUGAUUCUGAAGGUGUCUGAAAGAAAGCAGGCUAUGGAUUCCACAGUGUUCAGGAGUCUCCGGGGACUGGGAUUCCACAGUGUUCAGGGGUGUCUGGGGACUGAGAUUCCACAGUGUUCAGGGUUUCUGGGGACUGGUAUUCCAGAGUGUUCAGGGUUUCUGGGGACUGGUAUUCAACAGUGUUCGGGGGUCUCUGGGGGCUGGGAUUCCAGUGUUCGGGGGUUUCUGGGGACUGGGAUUCCACAGUGUUCAGGGUUUCUGGGGACUGGGAUUCCACAGUGUUUGGGGGUUUCUGGGGACUGAGAUUCCACAGUGUUCAGAUUUUCUGGGGACUGAGAUUCCACAGUGUUCGGGGAUCUCUGGCCUCUUCUGCUGACCUGGGCCUGUUGUUUUAUUUUCUGUGUUUAGAUAUAGGGUCUCGCUAUGCUGCCCAGGCUGGCCUUGAACUCCUAGCCUCAAGCAGUCCUCCUGCCUCAGCCUCCCAAGUGGCUGGGAUUACAAGUGUGAGCCACCGUGCCCGCUUAGGCCUGUUUUGUUGCCCUGUGUUUCUUUCUACACAAUGACAAGAAUUAACUUCCUAUGAGAAAAAAAACGCAUUGCUGCAGCAAAUCACUAUGUUGCACUAUUUAGGUCAUCUUUAAUAUCUCGCCUAUUUUAUUAUUUCAUUGUUUUUCCCUUCAGUGGAGGAUGAGGGCCAGAAACCUUUUUCCUCUCUUUCCUUCCUUCCAUCUGUCUUCAGUCAAGAGCACUGCAUAUUGCAGAAAAUCAAGAGUGAGGAAGAAAAGGUUUGCACUUUAAGCAGCUGUAGUCAUUCCACUGAAACUAGCUGUGACUCAAGGCUCUAAGCAAGAAACCUGUCCAGGCAACGCCCCCCAGAAAUCCAGAAUGAUUCACCCUUUUCCUAAACGUCAGACGUCAGAUCCCUUAGCACUGCAUCGUGUUCCUAACACUAUGAGAUUUAAACAGCAAUUGGACAAACCCAGGGUAAAGGGCCAUUUGCAGUUGGAGAAAAAGAGAUACUUCCCCUCCCCUAAAGCAUCCAGGUGACUGUGACUGGCACCGUGCGGCAGCUCAGCGUCCAUGGCAUGUCUUCCCAUCUGCUCCUGACGGCCCUGACAGACAGGUGGGUGCCCCCUGCCACGUUGGGGGUGCUGCACCAAGCACCCGGCUCAGCGUCUCUACUGGUUCGCCCAGUGCUGCUUUGUUAUGGCGCCAGAGCUGGGACGGGGCCAGCCACCCCCACCGGUAUGCUGACUCCUCCACUGGCACAGUCACUCCAGGAACACCGAAGCCUCAGAGCCUCAGGUGCCUUUUUCUUCCAAAUAUGGCUAGCAUCUCCCAACCCGCUCAACCCAAGCCCAGAUCACAUGCAGCUCCCAGGCCGGCACUGUUCUGACAGCAUAUGGCCAUUCGGGACGGAUCCCCCCGCAGCUGCUGCCCUCGCUGUCAGCAAGGCGGACACAUACCCAGGGCUCGAAUCUUGUGGGCUCAGGUCCUGUGGGCUGCCCCAGCCCCUGGCCACAGUUCCCCUGCACAACGGGAACGACAGGAUGAAUAUCAUGUUUUCAGAGAGCAGAUUUUUGCUUCUUUCUAAAAAUGUAUUUAGUUAUUUUGGUACUAAAAAUGCAAGGAAAGAGCCCUAUAUCUGGAUCCAAACACAUUGCUUCUCUCUGAGUCUUCGAGAUUUACAGCAUAUAAAUUACAAGCAGCCUGAGAAAGGGGAAUUACCCCCAGCUGUCAGCUCAGACAAUUGAGACCCAGGUAGGCGGCUGAUCCAAGAUCACCGUAUACUAUAUGGCUGAGCUCCCUCUGUAAAUACGCAAUUACUAGGAUGGCUGUACUGAUGGGGUACAAGGGCUGUGAAAAACUCAAGAAGCUGUGACCGCAUCCACGGGGCUACCCUGCAUGGCCGCACUAGCUAAUCCCUGGCUCCCCACGAAACUGAAGGCUUCUCAUUCUCAGGGCACGUGAAAUAAGAAGUGUCAGAUGGAUAUGAAAAGUAACAGGAACAAUACUGCCAAAAAUCAUCUAACAUGUACCCCAACCUCCCUGUCCAGCUAUUUUCUGUUCCUGUCUAGCAGACCAGGUCUCGAAGGACGUCGGGGAGGCUGUGUCAAAAAAAGACUCACGCGGGAAUGCUAUUCAUGAUCCACGGCAGAGCGUCGGCCUCCAGGAGGCUCAGGACCCAGGUCCCAUCUGCACCUUGCCCCAGUGUGGACCUCGCAUUCCUAACCAAACCCACGUCUCCAGGGGCCAGCCGGAGAGCCCUUUCCUGGCUGAAGACGGCAUUAGCCCGCAUCCCACUGUGCUGCAAGCCAAAGCGGUGUCCACGUGGCAGCUCAGGAGCCACUUUCCCUCUGAGAUGACAGAGGAUGCAGCCUAGGCACAUCCUGAAACCGGUCUCGUCAGUGUGUGCAAAUAUGAUUCAUGAAAUGUCAGCAAAAUGUCUUAAAGUUCCUAACCUGGGGAACUGAUACAUCCCUCCUAACGAUGGUCUAGAGAAGUAUUUUUAGAAGCUCUUAAUGAUAACAUUUCUUUCUGGAUUUGUGUAGAUUUAGUCAUUAGAACGUCUUCAGAGGCUUCAAAGAGAUGAAAUUAGACCCCUUGCCCCAACUGAAGACACUUUCCUGUGACAUUUUGUGUGAGGGUCAAAGGAAUUUUUUUUUUGAGACAGGGUCUUACUCUGUUGCCCAGGCUGGAGUAUAGCAGUGCGAUCUUGGCUCACUGCAGCCUCAGCUUCGUGGGCUCAAGUGAUCCUCCCACUUCAGCCUCCCGAAUAUCCUACAGGCAUGCACUACCGUGCCCAGCUAACUUAUAUAUUUUUUGUAGAGAUGGGGUUUUGCCAUGUUGCCCAGCCUGGUCUUGAACUCUUGAGCUCAAGCGAUCCACCUAUCUUGGUCUCCAAAAGUGCUGGAAUUACAGGUGUGAGCCGCUGUGCCCGGCCCAGAGGAAUUUUUAAUGAUGAGUUGGUCCAUUUUAUUGGGUGAAAACACACCUGUGUUAUCCCAGUUUGUUUAGGGACAGUGGGGUCAAGAGAUGGCCAAGAACAGACAGUAAAAAACAAGACAGCGCAACCUCAUAAUAAACACCACAUAUGACACGGCUGAAAAAUGCAGGUGUGAGGGGAAGUAUGUAGCCUUUUCCUCAUCAUUUCAGGAAUGUCAGUCCAACUUCACACACACACGCUGGCACGUCACACGGCCACUAACAGCAGACACGGGUGGGCUCAUCAGGCACCACAGCCUCCCUCGGAGUGAGCUCGGACAGUGUUCCGCAGCCUGCUUCCCUGCACGUGCCCCCAUGGGCGUGCAUUUAGGAACACCCACAAGGAGAGUUUGGGCCUCCUCCCGCUGCCUGAGCUCACCUGCUCUGUGGGGCAUAGAUGCCCUCAUUUCCCCAGCUCCUCCCAUGCACAUGCAUUUAGGACACUCCCAAGUGUUUGUGAUACCAACAAGGUUGCAAUGGAUACCCUUAGAUGUGCGUGCACAAGCUCCUCUGUAGAGAGGAUUUCUCUAGGGUGCGGAGUUGCCAGGAAGACGUUAUGAGCCCCAGUGCUAACUGGUAACAGGUGAGUGCCCUCCGGAGGGGCUGCCCUAAGACCCCGCGGUCCUGAGAGCCCUGUGUCCCCACGUUCCAACCAGGUCGUACUUAGUGUUUACCUUCUGUCAAUCUGAAGAAAUGGCACCCUGAAGACCAGUGGUUGCCGAGACUGGGGGAGGGAGGGCUGAACAGAGAGCAGAGGAUUUCCAGGGCAGUGAACCCACUCUGCGCGAUGCUGUAGUGGUGGACAAUGCUGAGAUACAUUUGCCCAAACCCACAGAAGCACGGCACCAAGAGUAAGCCCCCAGUGGACCCUGAGUGAUGAGGGACUGUGGACCCUGGGCAAUGAUGACAGGCCCAUGCAGGCUCACUGACUGUAACAAACGCACCACUCCAGGACGGGGCUGAUGGGGGGUUGUGGGGGGUGUGCGUGUGUGGGAGGAGGGGUACAUGGAAAAUUCCGCACUUUUCAUUCAAUUUUGCAGUGAACCUAAAACUGCUCUAAAAAUAAAGUUUAUUAAUAAAACAGUACCUUGUUUUAAUAGGCAAUGUUAGUUGCUAAGGAGGCUAAGUUAUAUGUGUAUGAGUUUAUUGUUUAUUUCUUUCUUUUUCUGUGAGCUGCCUGUUCAUGUCCUUUGAACAUCUUCUAUUGGGUUGGUUACCUUUUUCUUAGUUUAAUAAGAAAUCUUUGUAUUUUAAGAACAUUAAUUCUUAGUCAUAUAUACAGGAAUUUUUUUCCCAAUUUUUCCUCCAUAAAUAUUUGAUACACAUAUUUCAAUGUGAAAAAAGUUAUUAAAUUGUACCAUUUUAUUUAUUAUGGUAACUUCUGGGUUUGUGGCAUGCUUGGAGAGGCUUUCUCCAUUGCAAAGUAAUAAAACUGUUCUACUGCUUUUUAUCUUAGAGGUUUAUAGUUUCGUCUUCAUGGUGAAAGUCCCAUCCAUCUGGAGUGUUUAGAGGAGGAGAGGGCUGGGGUUUGAGAGCCAGCUCCGUGUUUUCCAAACGGCUGCCCACUUGUCUCCUGAUUCUUUGGUGAAUGAUCCAUUUAGCCCACUGAAUUGAAAUGUCACCUCAAUCAAAUGCAAAUUUUCCCUAAGUCCUGGAGGACUCUACAGGUUCAUACUGAACACAUUUCUUAAAGCAAUGUUUCUUUUACUUAGCAGAUAACCAGUGAACACAGGUAAAUGGUUAAAAAAUGGUUAGUUGAAUUUUCUUGCUAAUCUUGUCUUUCUAAGCAAAAUCUAGAAGGAAUUUUCUUUCCCUUUCCUUUUUUUUUUUUUUUUUUGGAGACAGGGUCUUGUUCUGUCACCCAGGCUGGAGUGCAGUGGCGAGAUCUUGGCUCAAUGAAGCCUGGACCUCCUGGGCUCAAGUGAUGCUCCUGCCUCAGCCUCCCGAGUACUUGGGACUACCGGUGUGCAACCACCACAUCCACUACAGGUGCGCACUGCCCUACCCAGCUAAUUUUUUUGUAGGGACAGGAUCUCACUUUGUUGCCCAGGCUGAUCUGGAACUCCUGAGCUCAAACAGUCCUCCAACCUUGGCCUCCCAGAGUGUUGGCAUUACAGGCAUGAGCCACUGUGCCCGGCUAGAAGGAAAUUUAGCCACAGGCAAGAAGCCUUGACUUCGGCACCAGAAGUCAGCUGAGCUGUUUCUGAAAUGCAUUUUUUCCA